UGGUUUUUCUAGAGCCACCAGUAGCUGUAUAAUAGUGCUUCUGAAUUGGCUUUCUGACAUUGAAUUGUAAUCCAGAUUUUGUAACUCUGUGGGAGAGAGGACUGUUUCUGAUUCUUUCUUUUGAGGUGAGGUUUUCCUUCUAGUCAUUUUGCUCAGUGCAGAGUGGCCAAAAGCAAGUUGUAUUGGGAAAAAGAGAAAAAGAGAGGAGAGAAAGAAGGAAAGAAAAGAGAAAGAGAAAAAAAAGGAAGAAAAGAAAAAAGAAAAAAAAGAAGAAAAAGAGAAAAAAAGGAGAAAAAAAGAGGGUGGGGGAAGGAAACAAAUCAAAAAGCAAAAAAAGAAAAAAAGAAAAAAAAAGAAGAAAAAGAGAAAGAAAAAGAAAGGAGAAAAAAAAGGGGUGGGGGAAGGAAACAAAUCAAAAAGCAAAAAAGAAAAAAAAAAAAAAAAGAACCACGGGGGAGUAUCUUCUGAUUCUGUGUACUUUAAGUCCCCUGACUUCCCCUGGAAGUUGUCCGUCUAGCUGGUCUUCUGGGGGAGGGGCCUGUUGUGCUGAUUUUCAGGUGUUAGCAGUUGGGGGAGCUGCUGUGCCCCUGCCUGGUGCAGGGCUCAGUGGGGGCUGUUUACCCCGUGAGGCCGCAGGAGGAACAGCCCUAGUGGCGGGGCCAGGUCUGGAAACCUGGAUUCAGCUCCGGCAGGAACUCCGUCUGCAGGGCCUGGAGGCUCCGGGCGGGGCCGCUGAUCUGCUCAGCUGGGGCAGGAGCGUCCUUGCUGUCCUGGGCCCUCCUGGCCUCUGCCUGUCCCGGGGGGGAGGCCGGAUCCUGGGCUGUGUCCCGGCGCCCUGUGCUCCGGAGCCUGCGCUGGUGGAUUCGCGCUCCCGCCCCGCAGCCCCCUCCGCGGAGCCGCCCCGGAGCCCCCCGAGCUGCUCCCGCCCCGCAGCCCCCUCCGCGGAGCUGCCGCCUGAGCUCCUCCGAGCUGCUCCUGGAACCGCGCAGCCCCCUCUGCACGGAGCCUCUUCCUCUGCCCGAGCCCCUCCGAGCUGCUCCGGGUCCCGCCGGGUCCCGCCGUGCGC
rnacentral:lncRNA from 1 species